ACAAAACCCGGGCCUGCAGCCGCGAUAAUACGGAGGGUGCAAGCGUUAAACGGAAUUACUUGGCGUAAAGCGUGCGCAGGCGGCUUAUUAAGUCAGAUGUGAAAUCCCUAGGCUCAACCGAGGAACUGCAUUUGAAACUAAGAAACUAGAGUAUCGUAGAGGGAGGUAGAAUUCCAGGUGUAGCGGUGAAAUGCGUAGAUAUCUGGAGGAAUACCAGUGGCGAAGGCGACCUCCUGGACGAAAACUGACGCUCAAGCACGAAAGCAUGGGGAGCAAACAGGAUUAGAUACCCGUGUAGUC
rnacentral:rRNA from 1 species